UCUCCUACGGGAGGCAGCAGUGAGGAAUAUUGGUCAAUGGGCGAGAGCCUGAACCAGCCAAGUCGCGUGAGGGAAGACGGUCCUAUGGAUUGUAAACCUCUUUUGUCGGGGAGCAAAAAGGCCUCGUGAGGCCACAAGUGAGAGUACCCGAAGAAAAAGCAUCGGCUAACUCCGUGCCAGCAGCCGCGGUAAUACGGAGGAUGCGAGCGUUAUCCGGAUUUAUUGGGUUUAAAGGGUGCGUAGGCGGAUUUUUAAGUCAGCGGUAAAAUGUCCGGGCUCAACCCGGGCCGGCCGUUGA
rnacentral:rRNA from 1 species